UCAAGACUCUUGUUUGAGACGUUAUCCACUGAGUCUGGAUAGGACAUCCGGACAGGGGAGGUGUGUCAGUCCCAUGAUAGUCCGGAUGAAGGGUUGGAUGUGCCAUGUGUCGAUCCUUGUGUACAUCCGGACAGGGGGUUGGUGCGUGCCACGUGUCCAAUGGAGGAGUGCUUUGUGAGGUUGCCACGUGUUCGCUUAGGGGUGAUCCCUACAACAAUGUCAUCAUAUUCAUAAUUAAUCUCAUGGUCUAUGAAUCAUGUAUUGUCAAACCCAAAUGUUAUAUUUAGUUUAUAGGAUAAGAUACGUAUGUUUUACCAUAUAAUUUUUUAUAAAAUAUUAUACUUAAUAAACAUAAUAUUCUUUGAGGUAUGUUAUAUUAUGUUAUAUAAUAUAUAAAAAUAUUUUUUUAUAUAUUGAAUGAUACAUAUAAUAAUAUUAUUUUAUAAAAAAAAAUUUAGUUAAAUUUUAUAAUAUUAUUUUAUAUUAUGUUAAAUUUUUUAGUUUUUAAAUUUUAAAUUUAUUUUUAAAAUAAAAUUUUUUAUUUUAUAAAAUAAGUAAUAUAAAAAAAAUAUGAAAAGAAUAAAUUUAUGAUACAUGUGAUUUAUAUAUAUAUAUAUAUAUAUAUAUACACCAUUAUUGAGUUUUUUAUUCUUUAAAAUAGAAAAUAGAUUUUUAAGUCCAAAACAAAUUUGAUAAACAUUUUACAGAAUAUAUAUAUAUAUUAAAUUGUCUUGAAAACAAGUUAUUUUUUAGAAUAAAUUUUAUGUGUUUUUAGUUAUUUUUUUUAAAAUGUUAUAAACAACAAUUAAAAAUAUGUAAAAUAUUUUAAAAAACUUUUGUAAUACAUAUAAAUUAAUAAAGGGUAAGAUGAGAAAAUUGUUUUCAUAUUCUAAGUUCUCAAAUAAUUUUAUUCCUAAAAAUAAUUGAAAAGCAUUUUUUAAACCUGUUAUAGAAAAACUAUUGGAGAGUUGUUUUUAAAAAUAUUAUUAGACAACUAAGAAUCAAGUGUGGCCAACUAUUAAUAACUUUUUCUACCAUGGUUAGAUGAAUGAUAUUUCGAUGAGAGAAGUUAUUUUUUAAGUUGUUUUGAUAGUAAAACAUUGUAUUUUAUCAUUUUGUAAAUUUUAUCAUCACUCAUAUCUUUAUUUAUUUAUAUUUAAAAUUAAAUAAAAAAUUAAAUUUCUUAAAAAGAUAUGAAAAGAAAGUAUAUCACAACUUAUAUUAAUUAAAAGUCUUUAUUUUCUAUUCUAAAAUGAAAAAACAAAAUUAAAGUCAUGGAGAGAAAGUGCAUUCCAACUUAUAUUAAUUAAAGGUUAAAUAAAUCAUUUAAUAAAUAGGUAGUAUGGGUUGAUGAUUUUAUUAUUAGACUCUAAUAAGGAUUUUCAUUUUCUUUUUAAAUGCAUUUCAUGGUUUUUAAAUGGUAUAUAUAUAUAUGUUUUGUCCUAGAUUCACGGACUUCCUAAAUUCACCUACUAGGAAAAUGUUAUUUGAUUCACUACUAUCACCAUAACCUCAACUUCAUGCAAAGGUAUCAAGUUGUUGCUUACUAGUGGUAAAAAAUAAAUAAUAAAAACAAAAUAUAUUUAUUAUUAUUAUUAUUAUUUUGUAUUAUUACUAUCCAUUAUUCACUCAUUAGCAUACGAUAGAAAAACAAAAAAAUACUGAUAAAUGAUUAUCUAUGUUGUAUAAUUUUAAGUGAAAUGGUCAUAAUAUUUUUAAAAAAUUAAUAAUUGAUGAAAUUUUUUUGGUAAAUUUAUAAACUUGUGAUAAAUAUUGAUAAAUGAUAGGGAAACUAAUUUUUAAAGUUGUUGCAAUGGUUAAACAUUGUAUCUAAUUAUGAUUUUCUAACGUCAAAACUUGAUAAUAAAAUUUUGAUAACAAAUAAUGAUAGAGAAACUAAUUUUUAAAGUUGUUGCAAUAGUUAAACAUUAUUUCUUAUUAUGAUUUUCUAACUUCCAAACAUGAUAGUAAAAUUUUGAUAACAAAAUUUUAUCUAUUUAAAACUUUUGAAUUGUGAAAUCUUUUAUUGUGCAUCUUGUAUUUUAUCAUGGACAUGAUCGUUAUAUUCUAUUUCUAAAAUUAAAUGAUAAAAUUAAAACAGUUAAAAUAAAAGAAAAGUAUAUUCCCAACUUACAUCAAUUAAGAGAAGAUAUAUUAAUAAAUCACUUAUUAGCCAAUAUUUAAUGAUUUACAUUAUUAGACUAUAGCAAAGAGUUUUAUUUUUAUUUUUGUAUAUAGGGAUUUUUAAAUUGUAAUACAAUUUUUUUUUUUUAAUUUUUGAGUUAACUUUCUUUUUUGAAAUGUAUAUUUUUUUUUCUGUGUUUGAUAUUGUGUUAUCCCUAGUUUUAAAAGAAAUGAAAAUUAUUUAUGCUUGAAAACUAAAAUAUUAUAUAUAUAUUUAUUAAAACUCUGAUAUCCUUAAAAAAAUGCAUAGUACAACAAUACCAAACUCUGACUAAACUAACAAGACAAAGGUCUAUCAAUCAAUGAGACAAUCAAUGAGACGAUUGAGACGAAGAUCUUCUCAUCGGUUGUCACGAGCCUUUGAAAGGCAUCCCCUAUAAAUAGACCUCAAAGUAAGAGCAGCUGCACAUUCUUUCACACUGUCCCCUCCCAUCUUCCCAGCUGCACACUGCAUUCCCCUCCCCCAUUCAGGCUUAAAAGAAGAGCAAACAUUCCCACAUUCCCACAUUCCCCUCCCUCCCCUCCCUUCAGGCUUCAAAGUAAGAGCAACAGCAUCUACAGUAUCUGCCAUGGCCACACAACCAAGGUAUGUCGCCUUUUCUCAUGUCCUGCUAUUUUAUGGUUGCCCAAUUAUGCCAUACACAUGAUUCCUGCUCUCUUCCCCAUCAUUUUCUUGCAUCAAAAGCUUAACGGCUUUUACCUCAUGCCCUUUUCCCAUUUUGUUCCCUCUUUUCAUCUCCAUUUUGUUUUCAAUAUUCUCUUACCUUAACCCAUUUGUUUAAUUCAAUACGCUCAUUUUAAAUCAUUUCCUUCAACUUUUAUGUUUCACUAAUUUUCACCAUAAGUAUUCAUUAAUUAAAUUUAUUCUCUAUGUGCCUUCAUUUGAUAUAUACUCAUUUGAAAAUAUGUCUUUAACCUAUUAAAAUUCUCUCCCUGUAAGGCUUCAAUAAUUGCAUUUUUUGAUAUAUACUCAUUUGAAAAUAUGUCUUUAACCUAUUAAAAUUCUCUCCUUGUAAGGCUUCAAUAAUGGCAUUUUUUGAUAUAUACUCAUUUGAAAAUAUGUCUUAACCUAUUAAAAUUCUCUCCCUGUAAGGCUUCAAUAAUGGCAUUUUUUGAUAUAUACUCAUUUGAAAAUAUGUCUUAACCUAUUAAAAUUCUCUCCCUGUAAGGCUUCAAUAAUGGCAUUUCACACUUUCCCCUCGAUGCUCUUCUACUUGUGAGCACUCCAUUUUUCAAACUCUAGUUUUUGGUUAAAUUUCAAAAGAAAAUUAAGUUAUCAUUUCAAUCAUUUGCUUUUCAAAUAUACAUAUAGGAUAUUAGGUGUUUUAUCCACUAAAACACAAAGUGUUGCUUUUCAUAUUUCAUAUGUACCUUUAAUAUUUUAAAAUUAUAAUUGAUUUAGAUGAUAAUAUAUAACAUUCUCUAAAAUUAGAUAAAAAGAUUGAUUUGAUCAUAUUUAUCUAAUUUUUUUAAUUACUACUACUAAUAUCUUAUUUUCAUAAAUCUAAUUGAAUUUCCUACUUAUUUAUUUAUUGUUUUUAUGACAGAGUUUCAUCAACUUUCAUCUCUUUCCUUACGAUUUUGGGUUCAGCAGUCCUUGCGAAAUACCAAUAUGAGAAUGUUUCCCCAUUUGCGCAACACAAUAUAGCUAUGCGAAUUUCCUUGUUCGCAACAUUUAUAUAUUUCAUGGUGAUUGUGGUUUAUGAAAUCCUUAAUACUAAUGGAAUUGUCCAAGUUGAAGAUGAUGGAAGAUAUUUCCUUAUUUUGAGCCAUGUUUGGUUCUUAAGUGGAAUGGUAGCUGCAACUUUGUUGAUCAUGAUCCUGAUACCAUAUUUUGGAUGGUUCCUCUUUGUCAUAUGGACCAUGUUCUUAGUGAAAAUAGUGUGUUGUUGGAAUAAAACAUUUUAUAACUUUGACAUGUUCAAGAAGAAAAAAAAUGUCAAUGAUAGGGAAGGAAAACAAGAGGAGCAGCGACCCCCAGUUUAGAGUAGGUUUGGCACAUCAAAGGUUAUUACCGAAUUCUUGUAAUUUGGAAUGUGUUAUCUAAGUGUUUUAUUUUGACUAAUGGGAGCAUUUUUUUUUUCUCUCUUCGUCGCCUGAAUACCCACAAGGUUAUGACAUUGUUCAUUGCAAAUAUGGUUUUAUAUAAUAGAAUUAUGAUUGAACUAAUAAAACAUAUUUUUUGCACAUUGUUUAGCAAGGCCUCUCAACUACCUCUCCGUAAUAUCCUAAAUAGCAAGUAUAAACUAAUAGCAACGGCUAAUCUUUCCCAUUCUUACACAAAAUAGAACCAAGGAUAAGGUAUGUUUAGAAAUUAAAUUUUCUAUGUUGCCAAACAAUAGAAAUUCAAUAUAUGGCACUUCACUCUCUAUUUUUCUUUCCCACAUUUUCUCAUAACCCAAAUAUUCUAACAUCUCAUAAUCUCAUUCCAAAAUCCAACCAAAAUUGAAAAACACUUACAAAAAUCCUAAUAAAAGAGACAGAUCAUGCUAAAAUUACACUUUGUUACAAGAAAUUGAAGUGCAGAAGGUACAACAAUUGAGUGAAACAAAUAAAAACCAACCUCCUUAACACACCUACUAAUGGAAUACUUGCAAAGACACUUAAAAUUCCUCCAAACUCCAAGAGAUACUGAUAAACAGCCUUGAGGAAAUCUUGUGUCAUACCCAUUUUAAUUUCUACUGAUCUAGGGUAUAUCAAUCCAUUAAACAAAAAAGACAGAAGAUCAAUAAACAGAAGAAUUUCAAAAACCAAACAAAGAUCUAGCGUAUAUUUCCUCUUUCUUUCCUAUCACAAUAAAAUAUCAAAAAAAUUUCAAAAAUAAAAUUAAAAAACAAAGAUUCCCCUUUCAAAAGCAAACACCCAUAAUUAUGAAAUUGAAGCUUUUAACCCAGAAGAUCAAAGAAGACAAAGAAGAAACCCCUGACCCUUUUGGAAAUAAGAGGAGAAACCACCGAAGGAUGAGGGCAUGAUUUAGGAUUUACUCACUUGAUUUUCCUCAAAAUCGAGCAUUACUGGAGGGUGGAGCUUUGGUGUCGGCGGUGGUAACUCGUCAAGUGGACUGAAUCUUACAACGGCGACGUUGGCCAGACAACCCCCUCACGGUCAGAUUUCUCUCCCUCCAGGGUCUUGCAUUGUUGCAAAUUUGCAAUUGUAGGUGGUGUCGUCUGUCCACGGUUUUGACAACAACAUUGGUGUGUGAGGUGUGGGAG
rnacentral:lncRNA from 1 species